rnacentral:rRNA from 1 species
CCUACGGGAGGCAGCAGUGGGGAAUUUUGGACAAUGGGCGCAAGCCUGAUCCAGCAAUGCCGCGUGAGUGAAGAAGGCCUUCGGGUUGUAAAGCUCUUUUGUCAGGGAAGAAACGGUGGGAGCUAAUAUCUCCCGCUAAUGACGGUACCUGAAGAAUAAGCACCGGCUAACUACGUGCCAGCAGCCGCGGUAAUACGUAGGGUGCAAGCGUUAAUCGGAAUUACUGGGCGUAAAGCGUGCGCAGGCGGUUUUGUAAGUCUGUCGUGAAAGCCCCGGGCUCAACCUGGGAAUUGCGAUGGAGACUGCAAGGCUUGAAUCUGGCAGAGGGGGGUAGAAUUCCACGUGUAGCAGUGAAAUGCGUAGAGAUGUGGAGGAACACCGAUGGCGAAGGCAGCCCCCUGGGUCAAGAUUGACGCUCAUGCACGAAAGCGUGGGGAGCAAACAGGAUUAGAUACCCUGGUAAUCCACGCCCUAAACGAUGUCUACUAGUUGUCGGGUUUUAAUUAACUUGGUAACGCAGCUAACGCGUGAAGUAGACCGCCUGGGGAGUACGGUCGCAAGAUUAAACGACAAAUAGAAGUUAGACGA